CAGAGUUCAAACUGGUUCGAAUUUUCCUAUUUCCGGCCCUUUAAAUUUAAAAGUAGGCGCGCAAAAGGCGGAACAGCAGAGAGGAUCGGCUGGAGAGAAUUGACGGUUGAAAACUGCACAAAAUUAAAGUCAAGAUCCUCCUGCUGUAAAAACCAGUAUUGACCAGCCUGAAUUCCCUUUCAGUCACUGUCUACCAACCUGCAGUCGGUUCAGCACGGUACUGUAGACAAGUGUUUUUACUUAUGUUUCAUUAUGGCAUAACAGUAAAAUAAAAAUUAUGACUAUAAUUCAAUUGGACAUUCAUCUAUGUAUUCAUUGUACAUUAUACUGCACUAACUAGUUUUAUUACUUGUCAGAAACAUCAGGCUCACAGCAACAGAUUAAGAAGAAUCCUGCAUCAAAAGAUGACUUCAACUUGCAUGUGAGACAGAGUGAGAAGAGAAAAAGAGGAAUGAAGAUGGACUGUCUAAGAAACCUAAUGCUGAAGGCGAGCAGAAAUGAGAAAAGUUAUGCUACAGCUCUCUGUUUGCAGCACGUCAGUCACGCUCGUUGGGAAAGUUACCAUAGUCAGCUGGAUCCCCUCCAAAUCCAGAUCAGAUGCUGGACCUGCAUCUUGGCAUGACCACAACGCAAGCCUAAAUGUCAAA